AAUUAGAUCCCCAAAAGAGAAAUCCCACAUCCCUAAUUCUCGCCGCCUUCCACCUCCGCCGGACUCCCGCCGGACGUCGCUCCCGUUCACACCAUUGCCGUCGCCGGUUCGGACAGCAGCCGUCCCAGCCGUGUGCUUCCGUCGCUGUUGUGGGAUCGCUAGACCCGCCGUCGCUGCUGUGGAAUCGCCGGGUCAGCCUUCGCCGCUGCUGUUGCGUCGAGCGGCUCGUCAGUGCCGGCCGUUCGACGGGUCAGGUUGCUGUCCGGCAGAGGCUUGAUUCACUCUGGAACAGCUCCGACACCCAUCCGAACAGCCCCGAAACAUUCCGAAAGAUAAGUUCUCUUUACGAAAUUAUGUUCUUUCGAACUCUCGAGUAACUACAGCGGGUGCUCAAUUGGUGAUGUUCGAUUGGUGUUAAAAGGGUUGUUUGCUCGGUGCUAUUUGAUGGUUUAGUUAUGUGUGGGAGGAAGAUAGGUGGUGCUAUGUUGUGAGAAAAAGCAUAUGUUCAUGAUUUGAAAAAAAUAGUAGAAUUUAUACUCCUUGGAUUUGUUCACAGUGGUAAGGUUUCAUGUGGUUUUUUGUCACUGAUGGCUCAAAUUUGUUAUCCUACAGUAGAUGUCCUUCUUCUCAGUCCCUUGCAGCACCUUUAACCGAUUUUGGUGGUGAUUCGCAGGUGCACAAGGUGGAGCAGAGGUUGUUGGAGCUGGGGUGCAGGGUUGCUGCAGCCAUGCUACAGUUUUCUCCCUUUUUCUGGCUCGUGGCAGCCUUUGAUUAUGGCUGGGGAGUGUAGGAGGAGUGCUGCCAUCUUGCCUUGCUUAUUUUGGCAAGUAUUUUUGGUUUUCAACAAAAGAGAUGUACAAGAAGUAGUUGGCUGGAAAACGGACCUCCCGCGGGCCCUCGGCCCGACGGCCGAUCGGACGUAAGGUCGCGGUGUGGCGUGGUUUGGCUCGGGGAAAGAAUAGAUUCAAGACGUUUUCCUCCUUGACAUUCUUAUGUAUUAUUUUCUUUCAUUCUUGUUAUUAUAUAUAUAUUUUUUUGUAAUCUAGAACAUAGCUUGAAAUUUAAUACGUUCGUAUUUUAUUUACUUAAGGAAUAAAUGGACACAUUUUCAUUCUUCAA